rnacentral:rRNA from 1 species
CAGGAUGAACGCUAGCGACAGGCUUAACACAUGCAAGUCGAGGGGCAGUACAAGGAGCAAUCUGAGGUGGCGACCGGCGCACGGGUGAGUAACACGUAUGCAACCUGCCUGUAAGCGGGGAAUAACCCGUUGAAAGACGGAUAAUACCGCAUAAUACUAAAUUACUGCAUGGUAAUUUAUUUAAACAUUUAUGGCUUACAGAUGGGCAUGCGCAUGAUUAGCUAGUUGGAGAGGUAACGGCUCCCCAAGGCAACGAUCAUUAGGGGUUCUGAGAGGAAGGUCCCCCACACUGGUACUGAGACACGGACCAGACUCCUACGGGAGGCAGCAGUGAGGAAUAUUGGUCAAUGGACGAGAGUCUGAACCAGCCAAGUCGCGUGCAGGAAGAAUGUCCUAUGGAUUGUAAACUGCUUUUGCAGGGGAAUAAAGUGCAUCACGUGUGAUGUUUUGUAUGUACUCUGCGAAUAAGGAUCGGCUAACUCCGUGCCAGCAGCUGC